GAUGAACGCUGGCGGCGUGCCUAAUACAUGCAAGUCGAGCGAAUGGAUUAAGAGCUUGCUCUUAUGAAGUUAGCGGCGGACGGGUGAGUAACACGUGGGUAACCUGCCCAUAAGACUGGGAUAACUCCGGGGAACCGGGGCUAAUACCGGAUAACAUUUUGAACCGCAUGGUUCGAAAUUGAAAGGCGGCGUAGGCCGUCACUUAUGGAUGGACCGGCGUCGCAUUAACUAGUUGGUCAGGUAACGGCUCACCAAGGCAACGAAGCGUAGCCGACCUGAGAGGGUGAGCGGCCACACUGGGACUGAGACACGGCCCAGACUCCUACGGGAGGCAGCAGUAGGGAAUCUUCCGCAAUGGACGAAAGUCUGACGGAGCAACGCCACGUGAGUGAUGAAGGCUUUCGGGUCGUAAAACUCUGUUGUUAGGGAAGAACAAGUGCUAGUUGAAUAAGCUGGCACCUUGACGGUACCUAACCAGAAAGCCACGGCUAACUACGUGCCAGCCGCCGCAGUAA
rnacentral:rRNA from 1 species